rnacentral:rRNA from 1 species
GACGAACGCUGGCGGCGUGCUUAACACAUGCAAGUCGAACGGAAAGGCCCUGCUUUUGUGGGGUGCUCGAGUGGCGAACGGGUGAGUAACACGUGAGUAACCUGCCCUUGACUUUGGGAUAACUUCAGGAAACUGGGGCUAAUACCGGAUAGGAGCUCCUGCUGCAUGGUGGGGGUUGGAAAGUUUCGGCGGCUGGGGAUGGACUCGCGGCUUAUCAGCUUGUUGGUGGGGUAGUGGCUUACCAAGGCUUUGACGGGUAGCCGGCCUGAGAGGGUGACCGGCCACAUUGGGACUGAGAUACGGCCCAGACUCCUACGGGAGGCAGCAGUGGGGAAUAUUGCACAAUGGGCGGAAGCCUGGUGCAGCAACGCCGCGUGCGGGAUGACGGCCUUCGGGUUGUAAACCGCUUUCGCCUGUGACGAAGCGUGAGUGACGGUAAUGGGUAAAGAAGCACCGGCUAACUACGUG